rnacentral:pre_miRNA from 1 species
AGCCUAGUGAAUUCUAGGUCUCAAUCCUUUUCAUUCAAUCCUUUUAAUCUAUUCUACAUCAAUUGAUAUUGGUCCAACAUCUGUUGGUAUCACAGUUUGACUUGAUUUAAAUCCUAAACAACCAUAAAAAGAAGAAGCCUGUUCUAAGUUUAUGGGUCAAGGUUUAAGAUGUUGUUUAGUGUUUGAAUUGAGGUUAAGCUAUGAUAUUAAUUGAUGCAGCACCAAUAUCAAUUGAUGUAAAACCGGCAAAAGGAGUUAAGAGAAAGGAUAGAGAACCUAGAAUCUACUAGGCU